rnacentral:rRNA from 1 species
GUUGAACGCUGGCGGCGUGCCUAAUACAUGCAAGUCGAGCGAACAGACGAGGAGCUUGCUCCUCUGACGUUAGCGGCGGACGGGUGAGUAACACGUGGAUAACCUACCUAUAAGACUGGGAUAACUUCGGGAAACCGGAGCUAAUACCGGAUAAUAUAUUGAACCGCAUGGUUCAAUAGUGAAAGACGGUUUUGCUGUCACUUAUAGAUGGAUCCGCGCCGCAUUAGCUAGUUGGUAAGGUAACGGCUUACCAAGGCGACGAUACGUAGCCGACCUGAGAGGGUGAUCAGCCACACUGGAACUGAGACACGGUCCAGACUCCUACGGGAGGCAGCAGUAGGGAAUCUUCCGCAAUGGGCGAAAGCCUGACGGAGCAACGCCGCGUGAGUGAUGAAGGUCUUCGGAUCGUAAAACUCUGUUAUUAGGGAAGAACAAAUGUGUAAGUAACUAUGCACGUCUUGACGGUACCUAAUCAGAAAGCCACGGCUAACUACGUG